rnacentral:rRNA from 1 species
ACCUGCCCUACRGAGGGGGAUACCCSCGCGAAAGCGGGACUAAUACCGCAUGAUAUUCCGGUGGCUUCGGCCGCUGGACUCAAAGUCCGCAAGGACGCUGUUGGAGGGGCCCGCGCCCGAUUAGCUAGUUGGUGAGGUAACGGCUCACCAAGGCUUUGAUCGGUAGCCGGUCUGAGAGGGCGAUCGGCCACACUGGAACUGAGACACGGUCCAGACUCCUACGGGAGGCAGCAGUGGGGAAUAUUGCGCAAUGGGCGAAAGCCUGACGCAGCGACGCCGCGUGGGGGAUGAAGCUUUUCGGAGUGUAAACCCCUUUCGACCCGGACGAAACUCCCGCAAGGGAUUGACGGUACGGGUAUAAGAAGCCCCGGCUAACUACGUGCCAGCAGCCGCGGUAAUACGUAGGGGGCCAGCGUUGCUCGGAAUUACUGGGCGUAAAGGGUUCGUAGGCGGUGUGGCAAGUCGGAAGUGAAAUCUCCAGGCUCAACUUGGAGACUGCU